UACGUAGGGGCUAGCGUUAUCCGGAAUUACUGGGCGUAAAGAGCGCGCAGGUGGUUGAUUAAGUCUGAUGUGAAAGCCCACGGCUUAACCGUGGAGGGUCAUUGGAAACUGGUCGACUUGAGUGCAGAAGAGGGAGGUGGAAUUCCAGGUGUAGCGGUGGAAUGCGCAGAUAUCUGGAGGAACACCAGUGGCGAAGGCGGCCUCCUGGACCAUUCCUGACACUCAGACGCGAAAGCUAGGGUAGCAAACGGGAUUAGAUACCCCCGUAGUCCCU
rnacentral:rRNA from 1 species